AAAUUUAUAAAUAAUGAGACAUAAGGCCUUGUCAAAUUAGAUUUGAGUUCUUUGAUUAGUAGAUAUCUAUUUUCAUCAGGUAAACUUCAUUGAUGUAAAUAAUAUGGGGGAUGUAAACUAUCAAAAAGGUAGCUUCUUGUAUAUAUGAUUUGAAAAGAAAAAAUAUAAGAAACCCACCUCUCCUAUGACAUGUAUGAUAAGUUCAAAAUAGAUUAAUUUUUGCC
rnacentral:lncRNA from 1 species